UACGUAGGGGGCAAGCGUUGCUCGGAAUCACUGGGCGUAAAGCGCACGUAGGCGGCUUUCUAAGUCAGGGGUGAAAUCCUGGAGCUCAACUCCAGAACUGCCUUUGAUACUGGAGAGCUUGAGUCCGGAAGAGGUGAGUGGAACUCCGAGUGUAGAGGUGAAAUUCGUAGAUAUUCGGAAGAACACCGGUGGCGAAGGCGGGUCUCUGGGCCGAUACUGACGCUGAGGAGCGAAAGCGUGGGGAGCGAACAGG
rnacentral:rRNA from 1 species